AGGUGGCUAGUCUAAUGAAAGACCGCUAGUUUCGGCCUAGCAAAACAUGGUUCAAUUCCAUGGCCACCAU
rnacentral:tRNA from 1 species